rnacentral:rRNA from 1 species
UUGGAGCAUAAUCAAAAAAGCGGAGGAAAAGAAACCAACAGGGAUUGCCCUAGUAACGGCGAGUGAACAGGCAAGAGCUCAGAUUUGAAAGGCACUUUUGUGCCGUUGUAUUCUGAAGUUAGGGUCCUGAGAAACGAUGCUUAAGUCUUCUGGAAAGGAGCGCCAUGGAGGGUGAUAGCCCCGUCUAGCAUUGACCUCAUAUAGGAUCUUAACAUGGAGUCGAGUUGUUUGGGAAUGCAGCUCAAAUGGGUGGUAUGCUCCAUCUAAAGCUAAAUAUCUGCGAGAGACCGAUAGUAAACAAGUACUGUGAGGGAAAGAUGAAAAGAACUUUGAAAAGAGAGUGAAAAAGUACGUGAAAUUGUUGAAAUGGAAGGGUAGGCCGCUAACCAUGUAGAGCCGUGUUUGGGGGGAAGAUAAAUGCUGUAGAAUGUAGCUCCUCGGAGUAUUAUAGAUGCAGUUCAUAUUCCCACCCGAGCGCGAGGAUCUCAUGUCACAAAAUUCUAGG